CGUCUGACGAGUGGCGGACGGGUGAGUAAUGUCUGGGAAACUGCCUGAUGGAGGGGGAUAACUACUGGAAACGGUAGCUAAUACCGCAUAACGUCGCAAGACCAAAGAGGGGGACCUUCGGGCCUCUUGCCAUCGGAUGUGCCCAGAUGGGAUUAGCUAGUAGGUGGGGUAACGGCUCACCUAGGCGACGAUCCCUAGCCGGUCUGAGAGGGUGAACGGCCACAUUGGGACUGAGACACGGCCCAAACUCCUACGGGAGGCAGCAUG
rnacentral:rRNA from 1 species